UCUUUGUUAGUAUAGUGGUUAGUAUGCAAGCUUGUCACGCUUGAGACCCGGGUUCAAUUUUCAAUUCCCGGACAGAGAG
rnacentral:tRNA from 1 species